rnacentral:rRNA from 1 species
GUCGAGAAUAAUUCACAAUGGGGGAAACCCUGAUGGUGCAACGCCGCGUGGAGGAUGAAGGUCUUCGGAUUGUAAACUCCUGUCAUCUGGGAGUAAGACCUGACGGUGAAUAGCCGGCAGGGUUGAUAGUACCAGAAGAGGAAGGGACGGCUAACUUCGUGCCAGCAGCCGCGGUAAUACGAAGGUCCCAAGCGUUGUUCGGAAUCACUGGGCGUAAAGGGAGCGUAGGCGGCGUGGUAAGUCAGAUGUGAAAUCCCGGGGCUCAACCCCGGAACUGCAUCCGAUACUGCCAUGCUUGAGGGUUGGAGAGGUAGCUGGAAUUCUCGGUGUAGCAGUGAAAUGCGUGGAUAUCGAGAGGAACACUCGUGGCGAAGGCGAGCUACUGGACAACAUCUGACGCUGAGGCUCGAAGGCUAGGGGAGCAAAAGGGAUUAGAAACCCCAGUAGUCC